GCACCCUACCUUAUGGGAUAUCCUUAACACACUUGUACUCUAUUGACCAUUAGCAACUACUUAAAGAGUUCUUUUCUCAACAGCCUCUACUGCCCCUUUGCAAGAAAUGACAUGAGCAAAGUUGCUCUCAUCUAAAUUGGUGGCAAUUAUGCCAAAAGCCUUCUUUUCUCGUCUUUUGAACUCCUUAUGCUCCUUGAUGCUUGCCUCUACCCCAGGUGCCUCUUC
rnacentral:lncRNA from 1 species